ensembl:ncRNA F08G5.21 ncRNA
CACAUUUUUCAAACAAAAAAGUACAUUUCGAGCCCGUUUUAAAAUUUGACUAGACUGAAAUUCUGCAAAAACCAUAGGUUCCACCGAGAUUUGAACUCGGGUCGCAGGAUUCAAAGUCCUGAGUGCUAACCGCUACACCAUGGAACCGACGA